rnacentral:SRP_RNA from 1 species
GCUGGACGUGAUGUGUGCCUGUAGUCCCAGCUACUGGGGAAGCUGAAACAGGAGGAUCAUUUGAGCCCAGGCAUUCUGGAUUGUAGUGUGCUAUGCUGACUAGGUAUCUGCACUAAGUUCAGCAUCAAUAUAGUGAUUUCCUAGGAGCAGGGGACCACCAGGUUGCCUAAGGAGGGGUGAACCAGACCAGUGGAGCAGGUCAAGACUCCCAUGGUGAUCAGUAGCAGGAUCAUACCCAGGAAUAGCCACUGUACUUCAGUUUAGGAAACUUAUAUAGGCUGCC